AAGCGUGCGCAGGCGGUUAUGUAAGACAGAUGUGAAAUCCCCGGGCUCAACCUGGGAACUGCAUUUGUGACUGCAUGGCUAGAGUACGGUAGAGGGGGAGUGGAAUUCCGCGUGUAGCAGUGAAAUGCGUAGAUAUGCGGAGGAACACCGAUGGCGAAGGCAAUCCCCUGGACCUGUACUGACGCUCAUGCACGAAAGCGUGGGGAGCAAACAGGAUUAGAUACCCUAGU
rnacentral:rRNA from 1 species